UUGACUUUGCCGCUUUUUCGUCCUAACUUGCAGGAUGAAGGGUAAGGGAGGAUUUCUCCUCCCCCUGAUACACUGUUAGUAAGUCGGGAAACUUAUCAGUAACAGCACUAUCAGUAUGAUGAGUAGAUUCAUCAUAACCCUUUCCUUAUU
rnacentral:sRNA from 2 species